UGCCUUUAAUGAUCACUUUUAAUGUUGUCUGUUUUAUGAAGAAGGCUCUUGUGGGUUUUCCUUAAUCCUGGCUAAAUUAUGAUUAUAUGUGUGGGAUUUUGAUGUAGCGUUCCUUUCCCAUGCCUUUCCAUCAAAGGGAAUUCCUCCAUACGCUUCUCAACAUGGUUGCAUCUUGGAAGGAAAAUAAGGCUUUUACUGAAGAUAAGGCUUCACUUUCUUUCUUACAGUAGUAGUAUAUUAAUCCCUUUUACAGCUUGUUAAACAUUGAUAUACUUACUGUACUGUAAGUCACAAGUUGCAAAUUCUGUACUGCAGUCUUGAGUUUCAGAUGAUUACUGCAGGAGUUUACUACAGGACUACCAUAUAGAUAACAAUAACGAACACAAACUUGAACUUAAAAUACUGCAAAUACUUUACCAGCUAAUGUUUAUCUCUAAACCUGAUCAUUAGAAUAUUACUAAGUGUUUAGGGUGUGGCAUUGCGGCAUACCCCUUGGCUGUUAGGGUUGGGUGCUGCCACAAGAUCUUGCUCUCUUUCUCUCUUUCUCUGGGUCCCACCCCCUUUGCCACUGCCAUCUCCUGGUUUUCCCAGAAUGCCCUGUCUGAGAGCACUGGCCUGAAAUAAAACUAAGAGGGCCCUCAUAGAGAGAAUGGGAGCUUUGUCUCAGCUGCCAUUUACACUGUCUGGGGGCAUAGAAGGAGAAGAAGGAGAACUCAAAGAGAGUGUCUGAUUGCAAAUUAGCACAGCCCAGGCCCGCUGCUCCCCACCCUCCUGUGAUUUCACUCUGUGGGGGUGAGAAGUGGAUAAAGUUCUGGUACUAAAGUUGGCAUUCAACGUAUUUCCAUCUGUCAUCUUCACUGAUGACCAGUGCCUUGUUUCAGUCAGGUGGAAAUAUAAGUUGUUUGCGGCGUGUUUUUGACUUUUCUUUUGUCGAGGUCUGUUGAGGCUGUGCCAUUGGGGGUUGCUUAUUAUGCAAGCAAUGUUGUGUCUGAAUCUGUAAUUAGUUAAAGACAAAAGACAGCCUCUGAGCGCUGCAGACGAGGCCGCUUGACACUAGAACCCUUCCCAAGACAGACUCUUGUAGUGAUUGACACGUGUCACAAGAGCGGGUGUGAUUUGUCGGUGCGAACUUGCCUAGGCUGAGAUGUUAUAUGUACCACCUGGGCAUAAAAAGUUUCAAUAAUGUGAUUAUUGGAUUUGAAUGGCUCAAGGAGAUUUGAUCAUUUAAAGGCAACAAAUAAUCUGGAUUUGCUACUAUUUGAUAACUAAAAUGUGUUGUGUAAUUUUGGUAUGAAUUUCGAAAAUGGGUCAUUUCUUUGUUUUGAAUGUAAAUAUACCAUGAAGGAUUUGUUCACUUUACUGUUUCAUUUUUUUUUCCUAAUUUUUCUUAAUUUUCUUUUCUUUUCUUUUAUUUAUUCAUUUAUUAUUACAUUACUGGAAAUUAACCACAGUAUAUUUUCAGGCAGCGAUGAGUAAUGAGUUAUGAACCUGAUAACCCCUCUGUAAUCCCUGCUUUGUAAAACACACACACACACACACACACACACAGAGAGAGAACCUGAGUCAGAUGUUUAAUCUCAUUGCUUUUGUCUGUAUGAGUAGAUACACAUGUCUAUUGACCAUAUAUUGCUCUUAAACAAGAUAUUACCUGACAGAAGACUCAAGGAUUUAUAUAAGUAAUUUGUUGAGACAUGCUAUCAGGCGGCUAUGGGCUGCUACACGUCCCUGUUCGCCUUAUUCUCGGCUCAUUCACGUGUUUUCGGUGCCACGGCGGACUGAAGGAGCCCGUGAGUGCGCGAGCACCGCUGCAUCUCCCCGAGCAGCUCGUGCAGCAGCAGUGUGCAGCAGUGUGCAAUGCCGGACAUGCCUUAGAAUUUCGGGAAAUAGCUUGUCUAGCUGUACACAGGCUCUUGUGUAACGGGUUGCUGUGAAUCCCACUCCACUUCGCUUCACCUUAGUUGAACUUGGGUGAUCUAGUUCAGCAGGCGCGUGAACGCUGUCAGGCCGGUGUGUCGGGUGCCGCGAGGAGGAAAAGAAGAACAACAACAACAACACGAAAAAGAAGAAGAAGAAGAAAAGCUGUCAUUAUAAUAAUAAUAAUAAUAAUCAUAAUAAUAAUUAUGAUUAUUAUGAUUACGCCAGAAUCCUUAAAAGGGACAAUCUCUCGACGUAUAUAUAUAUAUAUAUAUGUCGUAGGCAUAUUUUUCUUUCUUUCUUUUUUAGCUCCUAACACCGAGGGACGCCCCGGCUCGCGCUGCUUUUUCGCUUCGCUCGCGCUCGCGCUCGUCUCCGUCGUUGCCGAGGAGCUCGCGCUCAACAAAAGUAACCGGGACGACUGGAAUUCGCCAUGGAGAAGAAUGACAGCUCUCCACCGCCCGGACAGCGCGAGCUCACCGUCUCUUCUUCUCUUCUCUUCUCUUCUCUUUGCUCUUAAACUUGAACUUGAACUUGAGCUCCACCACCGGCCCCGUCGCCGCCUAAACGUCGUCUCCGUGUCCGUGUAAUGAGGAAGAUUUGGUAGAUGAGGUACUUAUCCAUGGCAUCAUGAUACAGAGGCUGACCCUAGAGUUCACAGCUGUAAUUGAGAAGUCUUGCAGACACGUGCUUGUGGGGCCCCAGGAGAGACCACCACCGCAGCGGAGCCGGGGAGCGAAAGGCCUUCAGGACCAGUCUGUAUAGCCUCAGUCUACCCACAUUUUCCUCUUUUGUGAGGUAAGUUUUUCAUAGUUUUUCACGAGGUUUUGUCUAUAAUUUAAUUCUUAACUCAGGUCUGUUCGGCACAGCACAGUUCAGGUCUGUUAUUGUUAUCGAAUGUAGGCUGUUAUAUUUAAUUCAAAUAUACGUCUAUGUUUGCAUGUCUUGGGAAGCACUCUGAAUUACGUAAAACAUUGUAUUUCUCAGACUUGGUUUUACUAAUCGGGUUUUUAAAAUUUCCAUGAACAAGAUGCAAAAUCUGCACAGUAACUGGUCAAAUAAAAUUCGAAUUUAUUGCUACAAAGUGUGGCGCAAAUCGGCAGGCGGUUUUUAAUAAUAAUAAUAGUAUGUCAACCUCAUAGAUAUUUGGGCGCUUAGAAUAAGAAAACUUGCCUGCUUUACCAUAGAACUUUGGAUUCGCUGUCUUUCCUGGGCUUAUUUGGUUUCCGAUCACUAAAAAAUAAGGCAGAGAAGGGAGUCCUUCUCAAGCGAGUCCUUAUAAAGACUCAUUACGACAUUAAGGCCAGGCCAAACCCUACUACCAUCCCAACAUUUUCUACAGGCAUCCAUUUCAUUUAAUAAGGAAGCCAUGAGUACAGGAUUUGCUUUCCUGAACACCUCGUAUGCUGCCUGACUCUGGGUUUGUCUUAGCUCAGUCUAAUGAUUUUUUUUGCAUAAUCUCGAACUGUAUUGUGUUGUGCUUCAUUACAUUUUUUUAAAUAAAUAUCAUAUUUUAUAAGAAAUAAACGAAAAUAAUGCUUUGUUCACAAGUACGCAUAAUAAUAUUAUAACGUCGGUUUUAUUUCUUUUUUGUGAUAUAUUUACUGGUUGUAUUUUUUCAUAAUAACAUAUAUGUAUUAAAAUAUUUCAUCUUUCCGAAUUGUGAAUAUUGCAAAAACUAAAACUAUAACAGCUUUGCUUUCGCAAUCGAUAUUUUGUAAUGUUUAAAAAAUGUGUUUUCGUAACGUAACAUUAUAAUCAACAUUUAUUCCUAAAGGCUGUAUCAAAUGCGUCACAUUAUAUUUAAAACAAGUAUUUGAAUUUUGUUCUGGAAUUUUCCAUAAUUCAUUUUCUGCAUAUCUAUCAACGUCCGUAUUUAUCUUAUUUUAUUUUUAAUUGUCUGUAAUGUUGCUGGUAUAUUAUUUUUGUAGGUUAAUAUUGGUAACAGUAAUAAGACAAAAAAUAAUCUCAGUAGCAUGACAAAAAGAGAUCUCUGAGCACACACUUACACACUCUCUGUCUCACACACACUCUCUCUCUCACACACACACACACACACACACACUCAUAUACACACACGCCUCCUGAAGAUCUAAUAAUUCGUUGUUGCACAUGUUUACUCAGCAAAACAAAUAGAAAUUGUGUUGAAAAUUUAUAGGUGGUGCUGCAGUUAUAAGGGCAAAAUUUUUCCCUGUAAAUGCAAUCAAAUUAAAAUUUAUAGGCAAGUAGUUCAGCAGGUCUGCUUCACCUGAGUUGGUUUAUGAUAGGUAGUUUACUGCUGGACAAAUGACAGAUUAAACUCUGAGUGGGGGGGUUUGAAGUGUUUUGGCACGUAAGUGGCAUAUUGAGUUGGCAGUGAAAACCCCCCACCCACCCCACCCAUGCUUGCCAUAUCUACCCAUCUACUCUGUUUUUUCUGUAGUGAAUGGAGUGUUCCAGAAAUAGUGUAUGGUAUAAGCACAUUGCAGGUGGCAUCUUGUUAAUGGGAGGGCGGUUGGGACAUGAAUGAUGCUUGAGGUUAAACCCUUAACCCUUGGUAAUUUGAAAAUAUGAAAUAUAAUGUGUGUCUUUUGAUUUAUGAAUUGAAUAUAGAAUUUGAAUUUAUUUAUGUGAAUUUUUUUUUUUUUUUUACAUUUAUCUGGCGUAUUUGGAGAAUAUUCUGAUGUGUUCUGUGUGAGUGUGUGUGUGUGUGUGUGUGUGUGUGUGUCUGGUUCUGGUUAGAAUGUGUGCAUAUUCCCAAAAUUGCAAAACACACUCCAUCACUGUCACAUAAAAACAUACACACAACACACAACACACACACACACCCACACACACCUAGACACACUUGCCAUGUGCCCCACAAGAGGACUCUAGUUCAGCCCUGAAUGAAAUUCCCACGCCUUUAAUGUGUGCAUAUGAGACUAAAGGGUCUACACCCACCACCCCCUCACACCCACCCCUCCGCCCGCAAAGACCCUCACCAUACCCAGUCUAGACGGAAGACGUGUCUUGUGUUCAGUGCAGAACGAAAUUGGAAGAAAAAAAAAAAAAAGAAUAGUGGGACAUGAACAUUUAACGAUUUAACAGCACCUUACAACUGAAGUAUUCAUAUGAUAUUUAUCUAGUUAUUUCUGGAAGUUGAGGAUAUUUAGUAACAAAAACAUCUAAAGCAUAAUUAUUUCUGUUUCUGAACACACACUGAAAAAAUCAAAUUAGCUAAAUAUUUCAAGCAUGAGUAGGUUUGGAGAAUUGGAGGUUUGGGAAAAUUAGGACACCUAAAAUAGUGUUUGAAAAAUGUGAUAAAUUAAUUAAUUAAUUAAUAACUAAUAAAUAAAUAAUUAGUUCGGUGUGUGCUGCAGGAGUUUAAAGCAUGGAAGUUUUUCUUCUGUCUGCAUGUGUGUGUGUGUGUGUGUGUGUGUGUGUGUUUUAAUGUUUAACUGUAUGUUCAGAUGAAAGCAUAGAGGAACUGAAUGUUAGUCUAGGACACAAUGUAUGUAUCUAAAAGAUCUUGUUUGUUUUCAAAGCAGUUCGACUGUGUGUGUGUGUGUGUGUGUGUGUGUGUGUUUGAGCUGUAAGGCAAAUUACUUCACAAAUCUUUCAAACAUUUGAAUGCAGAAAUUCAGUGGCAAUUUUUCUUCUACAGAAAAACUAUUUUGUGUAGAAGUGUCAGUAACGAUUAAGCAGGUUGUGUGUUAAUGUUGUGUUAACGGUUAUUUUGCGUAGCGAAAGGUGAUGUGCAUAAAUCUUUUUAUUUGCUUUUUCACACAUGUGUAUAUUUGCACUUACCUGACAACAUUUUCCGUUUCUAGAAGAAAAAAUGCGUAAUUAAUGCUUAAUUACAAAAUGAAAAGUUCAUAAGGUGUUUAUUAAAAGUUGUUAAUUAUGUAGCUGACAGUAAUUCAAAUUUCUGAAUCUCCCGAUGUUUUAAUCAGCAUUUAAUAUGUGUGAUCAGCACUGAAACAUAUUUAUAAUGUUCUUUACAGUGUGUAUUUGUGUGAAUUUGAAUGUGUGUGUGUGUGUGUGUAUGUAUGUGUGUAUGUGUGUGUGUGUGUGUGUGUGUGUGUGUGUGUAUGCCUGCACCAAAACUCUGACUUUUAUGGCAUUACCUGUAUCUUGUUUCAAUUCUCGAACAGAUUUAAAUGGGAGGGAAAAUCUUAAAUCGUUUUAAUUAAGAUUACGAGAGUGAGUUUAAGCACAUCCACAUUUCUGUGACUGCACUGUAGAAAAUACAGCAAGUGUGCUUUUAGAAUUAUUUAAUGCCAUUCAGAAGUAUUUAAUAAAAAAGUACGAUCAUUAUGGCCAUUUAUUUUCCAGGUUGACAUCUGUAAAAUGAUUUUAUAUUACUAUUUGGAUAAUUGAUUUAUUCUAUAAAAAAUAAUUUAAAAGAAAAUAAUAACUUAUAAGAUAGUACAAGUACUAUAACAUCAGGUGGAUUUUACAGUUUGUUAGUAAAACAUAAAAAAGGUACUUCUCAUUUUCUCUUGAUUUAAAACGUGUUGCUGAAAUUACUGCACAUUUCUUUCAAUUAUCAAAUUUUUUUCUGCGAUAUGAAAAUACAAAUUAAAUUAAUUAACUGCUCUAGUGACAAUAUAUUGUUUGGUCUCAAAUUACCAUUAAACUAACAUUAGUGUAUAGUGUAUUAUCCUAGUGAUUCACAUGACAUCAGUGGAUUAACAGAACAAUCAUAGCUCUGUCACUCAGACGUGGCUGAACUAAACCUGUUCGCUUUAAAGUUUGCCAUUUCUGUUCUGGCGUUACAUCGGCUGGUAGCCAAAAUCACGUAACCAUGUAGAUAAUGGAUUGUAGACGAGUGACGUUUUGUGAAACGAAAUGUGAACUUUUAAAAUCGUGGUAUGAUUUCGGUCAUGACUACACAUUCAGUAAAGUAAAGGACAAAGAUAAAGCCAAACUUGUCUGGAAUUAACAAAUCAAACUGAAUUUUUUCCAAAGUGCUGUGAGAAUGGUGACAAAAAACACACGUUGCACUAAAAAUCUUUUUAUAAAACAUCCUGAUUAGGACUUUGAGUCUGCUGCUUGGUUCUGCUUAGUGCAUAUGGAUGUCUGUGUGUUUAUUACAUCUAUAUUAUAUUCAGUUUUUUGGUUAAUAGCUGGGAAGCUUGUUAUUUGUUAGUUGGUGUUGCCUCAUUUUUAUGGCCUGUGAAUUCAAGACUUUAGCUAUUGAGUAUUAAGUCUCUGUAUUGUGAUCAUUUAAGGACAUGGUAUUAUUUGUUCAUCUGGCUGCUGUGUGAUUGGCUAUCUUAAAUGUUCCACAGAUCUGUCAAUGUUUAAAGAUCUUUUGUUCUCAGGCAGCAGUUUCAUUUUUAAUUUUGUUGAUUUACGACUUAGUGCGAAAAGACGUAUUCAAAUACCUGCAGUAGUGAUUUAUCACUGGAAUAUUACAGCAGACCAGGUACAUUGCUCUCAGUCAGUGGAGCUCACACACCGGAGCAAAUCAAAUCGUUCCGGAUAGAAAGUUCCUUGCUGCAGCUUUGGUAACUGAAAUCAGGUACAUGAAAACGUGAAAGUGACUCCAGCACCCAAAGGUCAAAUGGGGAUUAAGAGAAACGGGACUCUGGAGCAAUGCAGAGAGUGGCCUGUUCUGCAUAAAAGCCCUAUUGUCACAGAACACAGCACUCUCACUCUCACAGCAAGGAGAAGGCAGGACUCGAGCCUUAGGAGUACAGCGCCACCUACUGGCUGCUAACCGCUCCAACCUGACACCAUCUCCACCAGGCUCCAUAGGGUCAUAUGAGCAAAGUAUUCAAACAACAGACAAUGAUAACCUACAUCUAGCACAAAUGAAUACACAAUGGGUGCACUGUGAAUGUAUAGGACGUGCAUGUUUCAGACUGAGAAAGGCAUUAAAGGAUAUUACAGCUCACUCUUAUAGACGCUCGGCAUGUGUGACAUGGCUUAUCAUUCAACGUCUUUGCCUCUCUCUUUAUCUUAUAUGCUCAGGGAUCGAACCUGUCCCUGUGAGGUGUGCCAGUCCUGCAUCUAGGUCACAGGUCACGUAAUGGCACAGUCACGCCAUGUAACGUUACAGUGACGUGAUGGAACUGGGAGGAGAGCAGAAUGUGUGGGAUAAAACAAGCCUUCACAUUUAUCUAUUAAAAGUCCAGCACAAACAGCUCCUGUUAUGCCAAACAUUGUUAGACACAUGGACAGGGAGUGGAGCUCAGCUCCACAUUUAACUCUACUCACUCCAACAGGUCUUUCAAGGACACCGAGGAGGCCUUAUAAUUACUCCCACCGCAGUUUGAUGUGGAUGGAUGAUUUGGCUUGAGGGAUGUUGUUAAUUCUCCCGCUUUAUUGUAGAGGUGGUUGAUUUUUUAAACGCCCUUCACCGAGGAGGUGUACAUUUAUAGAGCAUGAUUCAGAGCAGGUUACUCCUACUCUACACUGUCCAAUAAAAAGCCUCCGAAAGAGAAAGUUUGACAAGUAAUGUAAAUUACAUUAUAAAUUGUUCAUUUUAUAAAAAUGGGUCAAAGUCAAAAAGAAAAUAAAACAGUGCACUUUUUUCUGAAAAUAUAAACAAGAAGAACAUUGAAAAACAGAAAACAAAUGUGUUUAAAAAAAUUGUCCUUACAUAACUUCUUAUGGAGGCCAGAGUAAAAGCCAGGAGCAAAAUAAAGAGAUUUCAGAGGUUUUUCUUUUCCAUUGUGUUUGAUUUUAAUAGUGUGAUUUUUUUGAGUGUUAUCUAAGUAAUAUAAUUGCUUAUUCAUUAUAUGAUAUGACUAAAUGUUAUCCUCAGUAACAUUUCAGUGUGCUGAAUUUCUGUUCAUCUUAUUUGAAAUGUAUAAUAAAAAUUGCAUAAGAAAAAUCCCAAAACCUAAUAUUAAUCCAUGUAAUGAAUCUGAUUUGCCCACAGAUAUAUAUUUAGCUCUUAAAAAUAGACGCUUGAUAUUUUAGUGUUAUUUUGUUUUGAAAAUGACUUGAAUCAAUGUUUUAGUUAGUGGUAGUGUGUUUGUGCAUUGUGUGUGGCUGUGUGUGUAUGGUGAGCGUGUGUGAGUCAGUGCUGCGGUAACAGAGGGGUCUGUGGUAGUAUGAGUAAGCUGCGUGUGUGUGCCUGAGGUAAACCACAAUGUAGCCCACACUCUCGCUCCCACACAUGACUACCUCCUUACUCUCACCGCAGACCUCCCGAUUACUCAGAUAUGGACAUUCACGUACGCACGCCGCAGUCGUACCUGUACACUCACAGUCCACACAUGUGGAACCGCACCAAUGCGCCAGAGCUCACUCAAGCCAGACAGAGGUGCGAUCUGAUCCUCCUCAGGCUCAGCACGCACAACUGUAAACAAGGAUUCCAUUAAUAAUGAAGGAAGCUCGAGAAACAUCACACCACACAGUGCAGCUAAAGACACAGUGAGAGAAAGCAAGUGUCACUGCUGUGUUGACUGUGGUACAUGUAAAUAAAUAUGUUGACAAUCCAAUCUCUUUUUGUCUCUUUCUCUCUCUUUCUCUCUUUCUCUCU